AUUGAACGCUGGCGGCAGGCCUAACACAUGCAAGUCGAGCGGAGCGGCGGACGGGUGAGUAAUGCCUAGGAAUCUGCCUGGUAGUGGGGGAUAACGUCCGGAAACGGGCGCUAAUACCGCAUACUAUCAGAUGAGCCUAGGUCGGAUUAGCUAGUUUGUGGGGUAAAGGCCUACGAAGUCGACGACCCGUAACUGGUCUGAGAGGAUGAUCAGUCACACGGGAACUGUGACACGGUCCAGAGUCCUACGGGAGGACGGAUUGGGGAAUAUUGGACAAUGGGAGAAAGCCUGAUACAGCCAUGCCGCGUGUGUGAAGAAGGUCUUCGGAUUGUAAAGCACUUUAAGUUGGGAGGCGGUACCAACAGAAUAAGCACCGGCUAACUUCGUGCCAGCAGCCGCGGUAAUUC
rnacentral:rRNA from 1 species